rnacentral:rRNA from 1 species
UACAGAGGGGGCAAGCGUUGUUCGGAAUUACUGGGCGUAAAGCGUGCGCAGGCGGUUUUGUAAGCCAGAUGUGAAAUCCCCGGGCUUAACCUGGGAAUGGCAUUUGGGACUGCAAGGCUUGAGUGCGGCAGAGGAGACUGGAAUUCCCGGUGUAGCAGUGAAAUGCGUAGAUAUCGGGAGGAAUACCGAUGGCGAAGGCAGGUCUCUGGGCUGACACUGACGCUCAUGCACGAAAGCCAGGGGAGCGAACGGG